rnacentral:rRNA from 1 species
GUGAACGUUACCAAACUGUUGCCUCGGCGGGAUCUCUGCCCCGGGUGCGUCGCAGCCCCGGACCAAGGCGCCCGCCGGAGGACCAACCAAAACUCUUAUUGUAUACCCCCUCGCGGGUUUUUUUAUAAUCUGAGCCUUCUCGGCGCCUCUCGUAGGCGUUUCGAAAAUGAAUCAAAACUUUCAACAACGGAUCUCUUGGUUCUGGCAUCGAUGAAGAACGCAGCGAAAUGCGAUAAGUAAUGUGAAUUGCAGAAUUCAGUGAAUCAUCGAAUCUUUGAACGCACAUUGCGCCCGCCAGUAUUCUGGCGGGCAUGCCUGUCCGAGCGUCAUUUCAACCCUCGAACCCCUCCGGGGGGUCGGCGUUGGGGAUCGGCCCUCCCUUAGCGGGUGGCCGUCUCCGAAAUACAGUGGCGGUCUCGCCGCAGCCUCUCCUGCGCAGUAGUUUGCACACUCGCAUCGGGAGCGCGGCGCGUCCACAGCCGUUAAACACCCAACUUCUGAAAUGUUGACCUCGGAUCAGGUAGGAAUACCCGCUGAACUUAAGCAUAUCAAUAAGCGGA